rnacentral:rRNA from 1 species
GACGAACGCUGGCGGCGUGCCUCAAACAUGCAAGUCGAGCGAGGUGAGACCGACCCGCAAGGGGAGGUUGAACCUAGCGGCAAACGGGUGAGUAACACGUGGGUAACCUGCCUGAAAGAUUGGGAUAACGGCUCGAAAGAGUCGCUAAUACCGGAUAAUGUCUUGGUGCUGCAUGGCACCGGGAAGAAAGGGGAAACCCGCUUUCAGAUGGGCCCGCGCCCCAUCAGUUAGUUGGUAAGGUAACGGCUUACCAAGGCGACGACGGGUAGCCGGUCUGAGAGGACGAUCGGCCACACUGGGACUGAGAUACGGCCCAGACUCCUACGGGAGGCAGCAGUUGGGAAUCUUAGGCAAUGGGCGAAAGCCUGACCUAGCGACGCCGCGUGAGGGAAGAAGGCCUUCGGGUCGUAAACCUCUGUCAUGGGGACGAAGAAAGUGACGGUACCCAGGAGGAAGCCCUGCUAACUACGUG